rnacentral:rRNA from 1 species
UUGUACCUACGGGACGCAGCAGUGGGGAAUAUUGCACAAUGGGGGAAACCCUGAUGCAGCGACGCCGCGUGAGCGAGGAAGUAUUUCGGUAUGUAAAGCUCUAUCAGCAGGGAAGAAAAUGACGGUACCUGACUAAGAAGCCCCGGCUAACUACGUGCCAGCAGCCGCGGUAAUACGUAGGGGGCAAGCGUUACCCGGAUUUACUGGGUGUAAAGGGAGCGUAGACGGAUAAGCAAGUCUGAUGUGAAAAUCCGGGGCCCAACCCCGGAAUUGCAUUGGAAACUGCAUAUCUAGAGUGUCGGAGG